UUUUUGUGGCUAGCCCGUUUGCGGGCUAGCCAUUAUCACAUAGUACACAAACGCGAUGAGCGAUGAUGAUCAUGGUGUCCAGUCCGGAUUUUCGUAAAGCAUCGGGAGCAAUCGGAAGCGCCCGUAUUUUUCUGCCGACAUUUCACAUUUGCAUUUCGAGGCAAUACUAGUGAUGUUGUUAGUUUGUUACGACGCAGUACUGGUGAGGUUGUUAAACCAGAAAAUUAAAAUAAAGUUUAUCUUCAUGGCUUCAACCUAUGGUGUCGAAACCGAUCAGAAAUUGCGCGUACUUGCCGUGUAAAUAUGGGUUUUGAUUUACACUUUUGACUGAUUUGCGGGCCAUUUGCCAUCUUGAAUUGUCUUCUUGUUGAGAUUUCAUAUCUCAAUUG